UGUCACUCAAAUAAAAAAUAAUAUAAAAAUAAAAUACAUAAAAUACCAACUAUACUUAUUAAAAAAUAAAGAUUCAAAACGAUUAAGAUAUAUCAACAUUGCAAAUAUAUAAUAGGAAAUUAUUAUUGUUUUAAUUUUGCCAAGAAAAACAAAAAAAUUUAUUUAUAAGAUAAAAGUGGCUAUCGCGCUGUUACUCUAUUUAUAUUAUAUCGUUUACAUAAUGAAUUGUGCCUAAAAUAUUUAUAUGUAGAAUAAUAAAUAAAUAAAAAACACUUA
rnacentral:misc_RNA from 1 species